GGAGGCGCAGUGGUGCUGGCCUUGGAGGGUGGCCAUGACCUCACAGCCAUCUGUGACGCCUCUGAGGCCUGUGUGGCUGCUCUUCUGGGUAACAGGGUGGAUCCCCUUUCAGAAGAAGGCUGGAAACAGAAACCCAACCUCAAUGCCAUCCGCUCUCUGGAGGCCGUGAUCCGGGUGCACAGUAAAUACUGGGGCUGCAUGCAGCGCCUGGCCUCCUGUCCAGACUCCUGGGUGCCUAGAGUGCCAGGGGCUGACAAAGAAGAAGUGGAGGCAGUGACCGCACUGGCGUCCCUCUCUGUGGGCAUCCUGGCUGAAGAUAGGCCCUCGGAGCAGCUGGUGGAGGAGGAAGAACCUAUGAAUCUCUAAGGCUCUGGAACCAUCUGCCCGCCCACCAUGCCCUUGGGACCUGGUUCUCUUCUAACCCCUGGCAAUAGCCCCCAUUCCUGGGUCUUUAGAGAUCCUGUGGGCAAGUAGUUGGAACCAGAGAACAGCCUGCCUGCUUUGACAGUUAUCCCAGGGAGCGUGAGAAAAUCCCUGGGUCUAGAAUGGGAACUGGAGAGGACCCUGAGAGGAGACGGGCUGGGCGGCGACCCCCACAGGGCUCUCGAGAACAGAUUCUCCCCUCCAGUAUGGGCCCUGGCUGUGGCCCCCAUUCCUCAGGACUGCACAGAGGAGGACUGGCUCCGGCUCCGUCGGGCUCACCCUUAACCACUAUUCCUGGCUCUGCAAACCCCAGACUUUGCACACAGCCUCAGGCUCCACACAGAAAUGUGAACUUGGCCUCAGACAGGCUGGCCCUUCCUAGGCUCUAGGGGCUAGGGGGGAGUGGGGAGCCAAGAGGUCCCAUAUUCCUGAGUGCAGGGGUAGUCCCUCUCACCUGCUUCCUCAGACGACUCUGGAAGCUUCCCUCUACCACUGGGCACUGAGACGAAGCUCCCUGACAGCCGAGACUGGCAGCCCUCCAUCUGGUCCGUACCCUCGCCAGAGGCCCCCCUACAUCAACCUCCUGGCGAUGCCCUGGUGGAGCAGAUGGGUGCUCUGGGAGUCCUGUGCUUCCUGAUCCAAUGGUGCCAAACCCUUCAUCUCCCCAAGAAGCGCAGCAUACCCCUGGGACCCCUCGGCCACUGCCCACUCGGGGAGCCUUCUCUGUUUCUGGGGCCUCCCCCACCAUAGCUCUGAUUCCCACCCCACAUAGGAGUAGCCUGACUGAGGGGGAAGGGGUGGGAGAGAAGAUACAGACAUGGAGGAGGGGAGGCUGCUCUGGCAAAGUCUUCAAGGCUUUUGGGGGUCCAGGCCUGGGGUCAAGAAGGAAAAUGUGUGUGAGCAUGUGUGUGAGUGAGGCGUGUGUGUGAGCGUGUGUGUGAGUGAGGCGUGUGUGUGUGUCUUUCCUAGGACCCACCAUACCCUGUGUAUGUAUGCAUGUUUUUGUAAAAAGGAAGAAAAUGGAAAAAAAUCUGAACAAUAAAUGUUUUAUUUGCU
rnacentral:lncRNA from 10 species